rnacentral:rRNA from 1 species
AUUGAACGCUGGCGGCAGGCUUAACACAUGCAAGUCGGGCGGAAACGAUGGUAGCUUGCUACUAGGCGUCGAGCGGCGAACGGGUAAGUAACGCGUAGGAAUCUACCUAGUAGAGGGGGAUAGCCCGGGGAAACUCGGAUUAAUACCGCAUACGCCUACGGGGAAAGGACAGGGGAGUUUUCGGUACCUUGCGCUAUUAGAUGAGCCUGCGUCGGAUUAGCUAGUUGGUAGGGUAAAGGACCUACCAAGGCGACGAUCCGUAGCUGGUCUGAGAGGAUGAUCAGCCACACUGGAACUGAGACACGGUCCAGACUCCUACGGGAGGCAGCAGUGGGGAA